GGCUUGAUGGCACAGUUGGUUAGUGCGCCUAUGAAAAUAAUCUCUGUGUUCCAUUCAAGUAGGAGGCUCCUCGUUCGAGUCGGGGUCACCGUCG